rnacentral:rRNA from 1 species
UACAGGGGGUGCAAACGUUGCUCGGAAUCAUUGGGCGUAAAGCGCACGUAGGCGGUUCGUUAUGUCGGAUGUGAAAGCCCUUGGCUUAACCGAGGAAGUGCAUCCGAAAACUGGCGAGCUAGAGUACGAAAAGAGGAUCGCGGAAUUCCCGGUGUAGAGGUGAAAAUUCGUAGAUAUCGGGAGGAACACCGGUGGCGAAGGCGGCGAUCUGGGGUCGAUACUGACGCUGAGGUGCGAAAGCGUGGGGAGCAAACAGG